rnacentral:rRNA from 1 species
UGGGGAAUAUUGCACAAUGGGCGAAAGCCUGAUGAAGCAACGCCGCGUGAGUGAUGAAGGUCUUCGGAUUGUAAAGCUCUGUCUUUUGGGACGAUAAUGACGGUACCAAAGGAGGAAGCCACGGCUAACUACGUGCCAGCAGCCGCGGUAAUACGUAGGUGGCGAGCGUUGUCCGGAUUUACUGGGCGUAAAGGGUGCGUAGGCGGAUGUUUAAGUGAGAUGUGAAAUACCCGGGCUUAACUUGGGUGCUGCAUUUCAAACUGGAUAUCUAGAGUGCAGGAGAGGAGAAUGGAAUUCCUAGUGUAGCGGUGAAAUGCGUAGAGAUUAGGAAGAACACCAGUGGCGAAGGCGAUUCUCUGGACUGUAACUGACGCUGAGGCACGAAAGCGUGGGUAGCAAACAGGAUUAGAUACCCUGGUAGUCCACGCCGUAAACGAUGAGUACUAGGUGUAGGAGGUAUCGACCCCUUCUGUGCCGCAGUAAACACAUUAAGUACUCCGCCUGGGAAGUACGAUCGCAAGAUUAAAACUCUAAAGUGAAUUGACGGGGGUCAUA